AUUGAACGCUGGCGGCAGGCCUAACACAUGCAAGUCGAGCGGAUGAAGGGAGCUUGCUCCUGGAUUCAGCUGCGGACGGGUGAGUAAUGCCUAGGAAUCUGCCUGGUAGUGGGGGAUAACGUCCGGAAACGGGCGCUAAUACCGCAUACGUCCUGAUGGAGAAAGGGGGGGAUCUUCGGACCUCACGCUAUCAGAUGAGCCUAGGUCGGAUUAGCUAGUUGGUUGGGUAAAGGCCUACCAAGGCGACGAUCCGUAACUGGUCUGAGAGGAUGAUCAGUCACACUGGAACUGAGACACGGUCCAGACUCCUACGGGAGGCAGCAGUGGGGAAUAUUGGACAAUGGGCGAAAGCCUGAUCCAGCCAUGCCGCGUGUGUGAAGAAGGUCUUCGGAUUGUAAAGCACUUUAAGUUGGGAGGAAGGUCAGUAAGUUAAUCCCUUGCUGUUUUGACGCUACCAACAGAAUAAGCACCGGCUAACUUCGUG
rnacentral:rRNA from 1 species